UGCCUAGGAAUCUGCCUGGUAGUGGGGGACAACGUUUCGAAAGGAACGCUAAUACCGCAUACGUCCUACGGGAGAAAGCAGGGGACCUUCGGGCCUUGCGCUAUCAGAUGAGCCUAGGUCGGAUUAGCUAGUUGGUGAGGUAAUGGCUCACCAAGGCGACGAUCCGUAACUGGUCUGAGAGGAUGAUCAGUCACACUGGAACUGAGACACGGUCCAGACUCCUACGGGAGGCAGCAGUGGGGAAUAUUGGACAAUGGGCGAAAGCCUGAUCCAGCCAUGCCGCGUGUGUGAAGAAGGUCUUCGGAUUGUAAAGCACUUUAAGUUGGGAGGAAGGGUUGUAGAUUAAUACUCUGCAAUUUUGACGUUACCGACAGAAUAAGCACCGGCUAACUCUGUGCCAGCAGCCGCGGUAAU
rnacentral:rRNA from 1 species